rnacentral:tRNA from 1 species
CGGGGUGUAGCUCAGCCAGGCUAGAGCGCGUGGUUUGGGACCACGAGGUCGGCGGUUCAAAUCCGCCCACCCCGACCA